rnacentral:tRNA from 1 species
CCUCUGUAGUUCAGUCGGUAGAACGGCAGACUGUUAAUCCGUAUGUCACUGGUUCGAGUCCAGUCAGAGG